rnacentral:rRNA from 1 species
UACGUAGGGAGCAAGCGUUGUCCGGAAUCAUUGGGCGUAAAGCGCGCGUAGGUGGCUUCGUAAGUCCGCUGUGAAAGUCAAAGGCUCAACCUUUGAAAGCCGGUGGAUACUGCGGGGCUAGAGUCCGGAAGAGGCGAGUGGAAUUCCUGGUGUAGCGGUGAAAUGCGCAGAUAUCAGGAGGAACACCAAUGGCGAAGGCAGCUCGCUGGGACGGUACUGACGCUGAGACGCGAAAGCGUGGGGAGCAAACAGG